CCCAGCAGCGGUUGCCGGCGGUUCGUGGCAGGGAGACGCGCAGCGCGAGAGCAAAGGGCGGUUACCCAACGGCCUUCGCUCUCAUGGCGUCCUACUUCGCGUUACCUAAAGCCAAGGGCGAUUAGAAGGUAAUCGCCUCCUGGUCAUGCUCCCACUGGUCACCAGUGUCCGCGGGGCGACCCCACAUUGUGACCAGAGCAGGCCUGUGGCUGAGCUCAAGGCGGGAGCGUUCAUAGCUUUCCUAGCGGGGGCGCUGCGGGACGCCCAGGCCGCGCCCCUUUCCCUUGCUCACCUGGCACUGAAGUGAAGGGGGAGGUGUAACAAUGCAGUGGGAACCCCAAAGUGUGUCUCGGCCGGCCGUGCCUUUCACAUUCCAAACAAUGCAAAAGCUUGAGGAAAACCUCAGCAGUUGAAACCGUGAUGCAGUUCAGCAAAGAAGUAGCUCCUGUCCUCUUAAAAUCAGUGAAGUUCUCACGGACGACCUCAUUGAGUGGUGAAGGUGUUUAUUGUCCUGACCCCACAGUUUCUGUCCCAUGACAAGGACCAGCUGACCAAGGAGCUGCAGCAGCAUGUAAAGUCAGUGACAGUCUCAUGCAAGUCCCCAAGGAAGCCAGGAUUGACCACGAGGAACCCUGAGAGCUCAAGAAGGAAGGAGCGGUCCAGAAGCAGGGACAGGAAGCUGGGUUGGGGAAGACCAGAAAUCAGAAGGUGCCCAACAGCCCUCCUUCCCUCCUUUCCUCUUCCCUCCCCUUCCCUCCCCUCCAGCCUCCCCCCUCCCCCUCCCCAACUUCGAUCCCGCCCCAUCCCCUUCCCCUUCCCUCCCCCAACCCUAAGCCACCCCACUUCUGUCCUGGCCGCCUCAGGGCACCCUGAGAGGACGUCAUGCGAGUGAAGUGACUGCUCUUUUGGCUCCUCCUGCUGUUUCCCAACCAUCAAUCCAGCCAUUUUCCUAGACGUCUUUUCUCAAGUCUGUCUUAAAGUCAUGAAAUGUCAGUGGCAGAUCCACGGAUUUACAGGGGAAAGCCUGGAGGUCCAAUAGCCAUAGCCAGGAAUGAAUUAAAAUGGACCUAAAAUACUUCUCUACAUCAUGGAAAUCUACAGAAGCUAAAGUGCAAGCUGAAAUCCAAAAGGUGGAGAUGAAGGUCGACAGUCAUUGCGAAAUCUCUGGGCAAAGAAAGACUGCCGAGGAAGAGAAGCUGAGAAUGAAAGAACGUGAGUGAGCAGAAAAGGAGAGGCGGCUGUCAGAGGUGGAAGAAACCAUGAAAUUGGCUCUAGAAAAAAUACCCAUCUGCAGAUUGCCCCUUCUGCUGCAAGAAAGGCCCUCCGCAUUUGGAUAAGUUUUUUUUUUCCCCCCUCCUUGC